GACGAACGCUGGCGGCGUGCUUAACGCAUGCAAGUCGAGCGGAAAGGCCCUUCGGGGUACUCGAGCGGCGAACGGGUGAGUAACACGUGAGUAACCUGCCCUAGGCUUUGGGAUAACCCCGGGAAACCGGGGCUAAUACCGGAUAUGACCUGGUGCCGCAUGGUGUUGGGUGGAAAGUUUUUUCGGCCUGGGAUGGGCUCGCGGCCUAUCAGCUUGUUGGUGGGGUGAUGGCCUACCAAGGCGAUGACGGGUAGCCGGCCUGAGAGGGCGACCGGCCACACUGGGACUGAGACACGGCCCAGACUCCUACGGGAGGCAGCAGUGGGGAAUAUUGCACAAUGGGCGGAAGCCUGAUGCAGCGACGCCGUGUGAGGGAUGAAGGCCUUCGGGUUGUAAACCUCUUUCAGCAGGGACGAAGCGUGAGUGACGGUACCUGCAGAAGAAGCGCCGGCCAACUACGU
rnacentral:rRNA from 1 species